rfam:Hordeum vulgare subsp. vulgare, WGS project CAJW01000000 data, contig: morex_contig_42061
AUUCUACUCCCUCCGUCCCGAAUUAUUUGUCACGGAAACGGAUAGAAAUAAAAAUGUAUCUAGAAUUAAAAUAUGUCUAGAUACAUCCAUUUCUACUACAAGUAAUUCGGGACGAAGGGAGUAUGAA